rnacentral:rRNA from 1 species
AUUGAACGCUGGCGGCAGGCCUAACACAUGCAAGUCGAACGAGUGGCGGACGGGUGAGUAAUGUAUGGGAAUCUGCCUGAUGGCGGGGGAUAACUACUGGAAACGGUAGCUAAUACCGCAUACCAUCAGAUGGACCCAUAUGGGAUUAGCUAGUUGGUGGGGUAAAGGCUCACCAAGGCGACGAUCCCUAGCUGGUCUGAGAGGAUGCACAGCCACACUGGGAGUGAGACACGGCCCAGACUCCUACGGGAGGCAGCAUUGGGGAAUAUUGCGCAAUGGGGGCAACCGUGAAGCAGCCAUGCCGCGUGAAUGAAGAAGGCCUUCGGGUUGUAAAGUACUUUCGGUAGCGAGGCGUUAUCUACAGAAGAAGCACCGGCUAACUACGUGCCAGCAGCCGCGGUAAUUC